GCCUUUUAUCUGUUGGUGGAUUAUCGUUGGAAGAAAUUAUUUAGUAGAUCAGGUCCACCGUGGAUUUAGAAUGAAAUUUUUUUUUUUUCGUAUAAUUAUAACAUGAUGUAGGAUGAUUUUAUUCUAGAUCCAUUGUGGAUCUCACCUAUAUGAUAACAUCUUUAUAGCCGGACCCAACCUCCUCAGCUUGCUUGACAUGGGUUGGGUUCAACCAGGCUCACACGCGCUUGUUGAAUCGCCUCGUCGUCCUCCUUCGGCCCCGGG
rnacentral:lncRNA from 1 species